rnacentral:rRNA from 1 species
GACGAACGCUGGCGGCGUGCUUAACACAUGCAAGUCGAACGGAAAGGCCCUGCUUUUGUGGGGUGCUCGAGUGGCGAACGGGUGAGUAACACGUGAGUAACCUGCCCUUGACUUUGGGAUAACUUCAGGAAACUGGGGCUAAUACCGGAUAGGAGCUCCUGCUGCAUGGUGGGGGUUGGAAAGUUUCGGCGGUUGGGGAUGGCCUCGCGGCUUAUCAGCUUGUUGGUGGGGUAGUGGCUUACCAAGGCUUUGACGGGUAGCCGGCCUGAGAGGGUGGCCGGCCACAUUGGGACUGAGGUACGGCCCAGACUCCUACGGGAGGCAGCAGUGGGGAAUAUUGCACAAUGGGCGGAAGCCUGAUGCAGCAGCGCCGCGUGCGGGAUGACGGCCUUCGGGUUGUAAACCGCUUUCGCCUGUGACGAAGCGUGAGUGACGGUAAUGGGUAAAGAAGCACCGGCUAACUACGUG